AGUGAACGCUGGCGGUAGGCCUAACACAUGCAAGUCGAACGGCAGCACAGUAAGAGCUUGCUCUUACGGGUGGCGAGUGGCAGACGGGUGAGGAAUACAUCGGAAUCUACUUUUUCGUGGGGGAUAACGUAGGGAAACUUACGCUAAUACCGCAUACGACCUACGGGUGAAAGCAGGGGAUCUUCGGACCUUUCGCGAUUGAAUGAGCCGAUGUCGGAUUAGCUAGUUGGCGGGGUAAAGGCCCACCAAGGCGACGAUCCGUAGCUGGUCUGAGAGGAUGAUCAGCCACACUGGAACUGAGACACGGUCCAGACUCCUACGGGAGGCAGCAGUGGGGAAUAUUGGACAAAGGGCGCAAGCCUGAUCCAGCCAUACCGCGUGGGUGAAGAAGGCCUUCGGGUUGUAAAGCCCUUUUGUUGGGAAAGAAAAGCAGCAGGUUAAUACCCCGCUGUUCUGACGGUACCCAAAGAAUAAGCACCGGCUAACUUCGUG
rnacentral:rRNA from 1 species